GGGUCAGUAGGUUGGUCGUGCCACCGGUACGUACUGGUCUCACUGAUUCCUCCUUCCUGAAGAACCGUAAUGCCAUUUAUUUGGUGUUGCGGGGAAACAGGACUGUUACUUUGAAAAAAUUAGAGUGUUUAAAGCAAGCUAUCGCUUGAAUACAUUAGCAUGGAAUAAUGAAAUAGGACGAUCGAUCCUAUUUUGUUGGUUUCUAGGAUUGACGUAAUGAUUUAUAGGGAUUGUUGGG
rnacentral:rRNA from 1 species